UACGGAGGGUGCAAGCGUUAAUCGGAAUUACUGGGCGUAAAGGGUGCGUAGGCGGUUGUUUAAGUCUGUUGUGAAAUCCCCGGGCUCAACCUGGGAAUGGCAAUGGAUACUGGGCAGCUAGAGUGUGUCAGAGGAUGGUGGAAUUCCCGGUGUAGCGGUGAAAUGCGUAGAGAUCGGGAGGAACAUCAGUGGCGAAGGCGGCAUCCUGGCCCUGACCUGACGCUGAGGCGCGAUAGCGUGGGGAGCAAACGGG
rnacentral:rRNA from 1 species